UUGAAAAUAAUCCAAUUUAUUUUUGCUUUUUUUUUACUUUUUCAGUAAUUUCAGUUGUAAAAUUUUCUGGCUAUUAUUGCUACUAUAGAAAUAAUAAAAAAUUGAAUCAAUAAGAAUUAAAAAAGGUAAAAACCCAAAAGCAGAAUAUAAUAUGUUAAUAUCGGAUUAUUGUUUUCAUUAACGGCUUGUUUAUUAAAUGAUUAAAUUUAUAGAUUGUCGAUCUACACAUAGCCUGCAGUGCCUAUACAUUUGAAAUCUCUUGUAUGAAGUAUGCACCAAUUAAUACAGUGGAUGUAGGAAGGUUCGUUUCUAUGCUAAACGUUAAAUACUCUGUCGGACAAGUCAGUUUCACUGCUGCAAAACCAGAGAAAUACACGAAAAAGAAAUUCAUAACUAGGAACGAGAAGUUAAAAGAGGAAAAACUAGUCUUGUUAACCAAGAGCCAUCUUCGAUACCUUAACAUGUGAAAUGAAGC